AUUGAACGCUGGCGGCAUGCCUUACACAUGCAAGUCGAACGGUAACGCGGGGCAACCUGGCGACGAGUGGCGAACGGGUGAGUAAUGUAUCGGAACGUGCCCCGUUGUGGGGGAUAACUGCUCGAAAGAGCAGCUAAUACCGCAUACGACCUGAGGGUGAAAGCGGGGGAUCGCAAGACCUCGCGCAAUUGGAGCGGCCGAUAUCAGAUUAGGUAGUUGGUGGGGUAAAGGUGCACCAAGCCGACGAUCUGUAGCUGGUCUGAGAUGACGACCAGCCACACUGGGACUGAGACACGGCCCAGACUCCUACGGAAGGGAGCAGUGGGGAAUUUUGGACAAUGGACACAAGUCUGAUCCGGCCAUGCCGCGUGCGGGAAGAAGGCCUUCGGGUUGGAAACCGCUUUUGUCAGGGAAGAAAAGGCUCCUUCUAAGAUAGGGGGCUCAUGACGGUACCUGAAGAAUAAGCACCGGCUAACUACGUGCCAGCAGCCGCCGUAA
rnacentral:rRNA from 1 species